rnacentral:misc_RNA from 1 species
AAGCUUCCAGUUUAUCUGGAAAAUUUUGGAAUAAGCCUUCGGGCUUC